rnacentral:rRNA from 1 species
GGGGUACACGAGCGGCGGACGGCUGAGUAACACGUAGGAACGUACCCCAAACUGAGGGAUAACUGCCCGAAAGGGUAGCUAAUACCGCAUGUGCUCUUCGGAGUAAAGCUUCGGCGGUUUGGGAACGGCCUGCGCAAGAUUAGCUUGUUGGUGAGGUAAUGGCUCACCAAGGCUACGAUCUUUAGCUGGUCUGAGAGGAUGACCAGCCAGACUGGGACUGAGAACGGCCCAG